CACGGCCCCCUGUCUGCAAGGCUGCCCAAGGCCAGAGGCCUCACUCUUGGUCACUCUUGGGGUUGAGCCACCUAACGCAUUAGAGAAAACUGAGAAGGAGCACCUGGCCUCAGAACACGUGCUGAUGGUUCAGCAAGUUCUGGCAGAACUCAAGGAACACCACAGGUGAGUGGGGAGGGGCUUCUUUUAUGGAGGGCGGGGGGGCCGGGGGCAGAUCCCUCCAUACAGGCAUCCACCCACCUUUCUGUUU